AGUGAACGCUGGCGGUAUGCCUAACACAUGCAAGUCGAGCGGCAGCACAGUAAGAUCUUGCUCUUACGGGUGGCGAGUGGCGGACGGGUGAGGAAUACAUCGGAAUCUACUUUUUCGUGGGGGAUAACGUAGGGACACUUACGCUACUACCGCAUACGACCUACGGGUGAAAUCAGGGGAUCUUCGCACCUUUCGCGUUUCAAUUAGCCGAUGUCGCAUUAGCUAGUUGGCUGGGUAAGGGCCCACCAAGGCGACGAUCCGUAGCUGGUCUGAGAGGAUGAUCAGCCACACUGGAACUGAGACACGGUCCAGACUCCUACGGGAGGCAGCAGUGGGGAAUAUUGGACAAUGGGCGAAAGCCUGAUCCAGCAAUACCGCGUGGGUGAAGAAGGCCUUCGGGUUGUAAAGCCCUUUUGUUGGGAAAGAAAAGCAGCAGGUUAAUACCCCGCUGUUCUGACGGUACCCAAAGAAUAAGCACCGGCUAACCUCGUG
rnacentral:rRNA from 1 species